rnacentral:rRNA from 1 species
CAGUAGCCGCGGGAAUACAGAGGGUGCAAGCGUUAAUCGGAUUUACUGGGCGUAAAGGGCGCGUAGGUGGUUAUGUAAGUGAGAUGUGAAAUCCCCGGGCUCAACCUGGGAACUGCAUCUUAUACUGCGUAGCUGGAGUGCAGUAGAGGGUAGUGGAAUUUCCGGUGUAGCGGUGAAACGCGUAGAUAUCGGAAGGAACACCAGUGGCGAAGGCGGCUACCUGGACUGACACUGACACUGAGGCGCGAAAGCGUGGGGAGCAAACAGGAUUAGAUACCCGCGUAGUUCCUGUCUCUUAUAC